rnacentral:lncRNA from 1 species
GCAGCCUUCUCUGUGGAUUUUAAUGAGUCUGAUUUUUCCUGCCUAGAACUCGCUUGGUAUGUACUGGUGUACGCCGGUCAUUUCCCCCGUUAGAUGGGAAGCUUCUCGCGGGCAGAGGUUGUCUUUUGCCCUUCUUAGCACAGCGGCUGGUACACAUAAGUACUUAAUAAAUGUUGACUGAUUUUUCUCACCCCCUCCCCAGGCUCAUUUAAUAAUUAGAAACAACAGUUCGAUGUAGAACCCAGGUGUCCCAUCCCCCCGCCCCCCAGCCGUGCAGACGCAGACCCCAAGGAUAGCGGGAGGCUGGGCGGAUGCCCACAAUCACUCGGGAGUCCAGGGGAAGAGAGGACAGAGACCCAAAGUCCCUCAAAGAAACCCCUUCUGGGCAUGCGCACACGCGUCCCAGCCGGAACACUACACUUCCCAGAAGUUUGCCGUGGAGACCGGGACAGUCUGUUCCCCCUCCCUUUUGGGCAUGCGCACAUACGUCCCGGCCGGACCACUAUACUUCCCAGAAGCCCUUCCCCGGCCAAGCCGGGGUUGCCAUGGAGUCCAGGACAGUGCGGUCCGCCUCCCUUUUGGGCAUGCGCACACACGUCCCGGCAGGAACACUACACUUCCCAGAAGCCCUUGCCUGGCCAAGCCGGGGUUGCCAUGGAGACCAGGACAGGCCAGCCCAGAAGAGGCGGGGAUCAUAGCAGGGGGAAUCUUCCCGGGAUUGGGGCCGGUCUGAAGAGAAGCGCGGCCACGUGGACGUCACUUCCGCCAUCGCUUCGCCGUCAUCCUAGGAGGGCUCGCGGCCGCCUGGGCUCGUCUCCGCCCUCCGACUUCACGUGGGCCCGAGUCGGGGCUCUGCCUUCUGAUGACUGCAUCCCUUCCUAGGAGAAGGUAGCUUUGCAGAGGCCCCAAUGGCCCCAAUGUUCCCAACAGCUGGGGCCCAGCAGGUGAGUGGAUGUUUGCACUUUCCUGAAAUACCACCUCCAUGUUUCGUGUGUUUUCUUAGUGUCUUUAAUAUCAUUUUAAUUGUCUGUAUGAUAAAGUCGUCUAUCUGUCCAUCAUUUAGG